rnacentral:rRNA from 1 species
GCUCAGGACGAACGCUGGCGGCGUGCUUAACACAUGCAAGUCGAACGAUGAUGCCCAGCUUGCUGGGUGGAUUAGUGGCGAACGGGUGAGUAACACGUGAGUAACCUGCCCCUGACUCUGGGAUAAGCGUUGGAAACGACGUCUAAUACUGGAUAUGAUCACUGGCCGCAUGGUCUGGUGGUGGAAAGAUUUUUUGGUUGGGGAUGGACUCGCGGCCUAUCAGCUUGUUGGUGAGGUAAUGGCUCACCAAGGCGACGACGGGUAGCCGGCCUGAGAGGGUGACCGGCCACACUGGGACUGAGACACGGCCCAGACUCCUACGGGAGGCAGCAGUGGGGAAUAUUGCACAAUGGGCGAAAGCCUGAUGCAGCAACGCCGCGUGAGGGAUGACGGCCUUCGGGUUGUAAACCUCUUUUAGUAGGGAAGAAGCGAAAGUGACGGUACCUGCAGAAAAAGCACCGGCUAACUACGUGCCAGCAGCCGCGGUAAUACGUAGGGUGCAAGCGUUGUCCGGAAUUAUUGGGCGUAAAGAGCUCGUAGGCGGUUUGUCGCGUCUGCUGUGAAAUCCCGAGGCUCAACCUCGGGCUUGCAGUGGGUACGGGCAGACUAGAGUGCGGUAGGGGAGAUUGGAAUUCCUGGUGUAGCGGUGGAAUGCGCAGAUAUCAGGAGGAACACCGAUGGCGAAGGCAGAUCUCUGGGCCGUAACUGACGCUGAGGAGCGAAAGCAUGGGGAGCGAACAGGAUUAGAUACCCUGGUAGUCCAUGCCGUAAACGUUGGGCGCUAGAUGUAGGGACCUUUCCACGGUUUCUGUGUCGUAGCUAACGCAUUAAGCGCCCCGCCUGGGGAGUACGGCCGCAAGGCUAAAACUCAAAGGAAUUGACGGGGGCCCGCACAAGCGGCGGAGCAUGCGGAUUAAUUCGAUGCAACGCGAAGAACCUUACCAAGGCUUGACAUACACCGGAAACGGCCAGAGAUGGUCGCCCCCUUGUGGUCGGUGUACAGGUGGUGCAUGGUUGUCGUCAGCUCGUGUCGUG